UUGCUUUGUCAGCAUAUAUACUAAAAUGAAAAUAAUAUAGAAAAAAUUAGCAUGAACCCUGUGCCAGGAUGACAUUCAAAUUUAUGAAGCAUUGCAUAAAAAU